AAAAAGACAAACCCUAGUUUCCGUGUCCAACGUUUGACUGUCCGUCUUAUUUGAAAAAAUUAUGAAAAAAAUUAAAAAGACAAGUCACGCAUAAAAUAUUAAUCAUGUUUUAUCAUCUAACAACAAUAAAAAUACGAAUUAUAAAAAAAUUUCAUAUAAGACGGACAGUCAAAGUUGGAC
rnacentral:pre_miRNA from 1 species